UCUGUUUCCAGGACCCAGUGUCUAGCAUAGAGAAGCUGUUCCUUUUGGUUCCAUUAAACCUUUAUGAUGACCAGAUGGGGAAGGAGUUUCAUAGAGGGAUGUAGUUAGGGAUGUGUCACUUGGGAUUGCCUGACAGUUGAGAGUCUCACUUUAUCUAUAAAACAUGUGGCAUUUGCUUCCCAAGUUGACCAGAGCACUUUGUUUUUCUGUUUUUUUCUUUCUAAUGAUGUAGGUAUUUUUGGAGUUGAUAUAUGAAGGCUACCCUCAAUUAAUUCAUCAGCGUUAUAUUAACAGGGAUUUAAAACCCAGCCCUAGAACUGAUAGUGAAAUGAGUGCCGAUUUCCCGGUUGUCCAUAUUGUAAUCCGGAGUAAAAAAAAAAAAAAAUGCUAUCUUUAAAUUCAUGAAGACUCGCCCUACUGACUAUGGUACUGUGUCUACAAGUACAAGUAAAGAAUCUUUUCAAAUGCAAAUGUUGGUAGUAGGGAACAGGAGAAAAACAACCUUGGGAGACUGGUUCAAUCCUGAGCAGAACUGUUGAGUUCAGAAGGGUCUGACGGUGCAAAGAAGUAUAUUCAAUUGAGUGAGGAAACGAACAACAGGAAGCAUAUAGGCUCAAAUCCAAGGCAAGACAUAUUUCUUGAUAUUGGAAAAAGGGAAAAUGAAGUACAAAGGCUCUCUGCCCUCAACAAUAUUAUAUAAAGGAAGUUAUGUUCUGAAAAGUAGAAUCAAGCUGGUGCCAGGCAGGAAGAGGUAGGUGUGCGUGUUUUGAGAUGUGAAGAAUGGCUGUUAUCCAGAUGGCAGACAGGACGACUGAAGGAGGAAUCAGAAGAAUUCAAGACACGUUCUUCGUUUUGCCAAAGCAGCAGUCUAUCCAAGUUUACUCAAGAUUUAAUACUUUAAAUUUGAGGUGAAACUUUAAUUAUACAUUUGGAAUAUUUGAAAAUUAAGAUUGCCUGUAGUUAUAAAAAGAACAUCUGGAAAGAAAUAUGUAAGAAAAACCAUUACUUGUGCAAAUCCCAUAAGACAAAUUCAAUUUCUAUUUCAAAUUAAUAGCUUAUCUGUUAGUAACAAUUCAGCUCACAGACCAUCUAUUAACAAGAUGAAGCACUUCUCCCACAUGUUGAACAAAUUGCCUUCGCUUUAUCAAACCAGGUUUCCUGUUCCACUUCUGGCUUCUCAGAAUUUGUUUAAAGUCUGCCCUUGGCUUGCUUUGUUAGACCAAGGGAUAGGAAUAGAAUUGGAAGAAUGCAAACACAAAGAAAACGAAUUCCAAGUUAUACAAUAUACUCUUUUUUUCACUGUUUCCCUUUUUACUAUUCUAUCUGCUAUAACUCUUUUCCUAUCUCUUUUAAAAGACAACUCAUUUUUGUGUCAUUCUAUUUUAGUUUUAAUAUCAAUGUGUUUGUAAUUUAAGUAUGCAUUUUUAAAAAGAUACUAUUUAUGUAUUUGACAGAGGGAGAGGGCAAAAGCAGGGGGAGCGGCAGGCAGAGGGAGAAGGAGA